rnacentral:pre_miRNA from 1 species
GCCUAUCAUUUUUCCUAAAGCGUGCCCGGGUUAUGCUUUAGUCAAACCGGUCCGUUGUAGGAAUUAGGAAAGGC